rnacentral:lncRNA from 1 species
CAAGCGUACAUUUACACUACCUUUAAAGUCCACAACAACCAUGAGUCUAUACUUAUAACCUACUGGCUAAUCUGGCCAUUUUCAUACUUCAAGCAAGGACAAUUCACCUCGCCUAAUAACUCCUUCUCUAUCUUCUACUAAUAAACUAACACACAAGGAUGAAUCGCUUCAUUACCAACUCUAUCUCAUGCAAAAAGAUUCAGCUAUACAUAUAUUCAAC